CGGGAAACUCAGGAGUAUUAAAACAAAAAAAAAAGAAGUUGCCUUGUUCCUUUUCUUUUUGCCAUUUCUAUUCAGCUUGCCUCAUACCCACUGAAAGUCGAGACUGGAUUCUGCAAAGUUCUAUUUGUUUAUUACUAUUUCUAGUUCAUGGCAUCCCCCUUGGGUAUUAUGUCCUGGGAACAAACCCACUCCACAAGCUUUCAUGAGCCCAAGAACGCAGAAUCUCUGAAGAGAGAUAUAACAGGCCAAGAUUCUCAAUCAGUUUGAGCCCUGGAGGUCCGUGUCUAGCUUCCGCUGUCCAAUCAUACCCAAUCAGAGGGAAUACA
rnacentral:sRNA from 1 species